rnacentral:rRNA from 1 species
UCGAACGGUAGCACAGAGGAGCUUGCUCCUUGGGUGACGAGUGGCGGACGGGUGAGUAAUGUCUGGGAAACUGCCCGACAGAGGGGGAUAACUACUGGAAACGGUAGCUAAUACCGCAUAACCUCGAAAGAGCAAAGUGGGGGACCUUCGGGCCUCACGCUGUCGGAUGUGCCCAGAUGGGAUUAGCUAGUAGGUGGGGUAAUGGCUCACCUAGGCGACGAUCCCUAGCUGGUCUGAGAGGAUGACCAGCCACACUGGAACUGAGACACGGUCCAGACUCCUACGGGAGGCAGCAGUGGGGAAUAUUGCACAAUGGGCGCAAGCCUGAUGCAGCCAUGCCGCGUGUAUGAAGAAGGCCUUCGGGUUGUAAAGUACUUUCAGCGGGGAGGAAGGCGAUAAGGUUAAUAACCUUGUCGAUUGACGUUACCCGCAGAAGAAGCACCGGCUAACUCCGUGCCAGCAGCCGCGGUAAUACGGAGGGUGCAAGCGUUAAUCGGAAUUACUGGGCGUAAAGCGCACGCAGGCGGUCUGUCAAGUCARAUGUGAAAUCCCCGGGCUUAACCUGGGAACUGC